rnacentral:rRNA from 1 species
GCUUGCUKCUUUGCUGACGAGUGGCGGACGGGUGAGUAAUGUCUGGGAAACUGCCUGAUGGAGGGGGAUAACUACUGGAAACGGUAGCUAAUACCGCAUAACGUCGCAAGACCAAAGAGGGGGACCUUCGGGCCUCUUGCCAUCGGAUGUGCCCAGAUGGGAUUAGCUAGUAGGUGGGGUAACGGCUCACCUAGGCGACGAUCCCUAGCUGGUCUGAGAGGAUGACCAGCCACACUGGAACUGAGACACGGUCCAGACUCCUACGGGAGGCAGCAGUGGGGAAUAUUGCACAAUGGGCGCAAGCCUGAUGCAGCCAUGCCGCGUGUAUGAAGAAGGCCUUCGGGUUGUAAAGUACUUUCAGCGGGGAGGAAGGGAGUAAAGUUAAUACCUUUGCUCAUUGACGUUACCCGCAGAAGAAGCACCGGCUAACUCCGUGCCAGCAGCCGCGGUAAUACGGAGGGUGCAAGCGUUAAUCGGAAUUACUGGGCGUAAAGCGCACGCAGGCGGUUUGUUAAGUCAGAUGUGAAAUCCCCGGGCUCAACCUGGGAACUGCAUCUGAUACUGGCAAGCUUGAGUCUCGUAGAGGGGGGUAGAAUUCCAGGUGUAGCGGUGAAAUGCGUAGAGAUCUGGAGGAAUACCGGUGGCGAAGGCGGCCCCCUGGACGAAGACUGACGCUCAGGUGCGAAAGCGUGGGGAGCAAACAGGAUUAGAUACCCUGGUAGUCCACGCCGUAAACGAUGUCGACUUGGAGGUUGUGCCCUUGAGGCGUGGCUUCCGGAGCUAACGCGUUAAGUCGACCGCCUGGGGAGUACGGCCGCAAGGUUAAAACUCAAAUGAAUUGACGGGGGCCCGCACAAGCGGUGGAGCAUGUGGUUUAAUUCGAUGCAACGCGAAGAACCUUACCUGGUCUUGACAUCCACGGAAGUUUUCAGAGAUGAGAAUGUGCCUUCGGGAACCGUGAGACAGGUGCUGCAUGGCUGUCGUCAGCUCGUGUUGUGAAAUGUUGGGUUAAGUCCCGCAACGAGCGCAACCCUUAUCCUUUGUUGCCAGCGGUCCGGCCGGGAACUCAAAGGAGACUGCCAGUG